AGAUUGAACGCUAGCGGGAUGCUUUACACAUGCAAGUCGAACGGCAGCGCGGACUUCGGUCUGGCGGCGAGUGGCGAACGGGUGAGUAAUAUAUCGGAACGUGCCCAGUAGCGGGGGAUAACUACGCGAAAGCGUGGCUAAUACCGCAUACGCCCUACGGGGGAAAGGGGGGGAUCGCAAGACCUCUCACUAUUGGAGCGGCCGAUAUCAGAUUAGCUAGUUGGUGAGGUAAAGGCUCACCAAGGCGACGAUCUGUAGCUGGUUUGAGAGGACGACCAGCCACACUGGGACUGAGACACGGCCCAGACUCCUACGGGAGCAGCAGGUGGGGAAUUUGGACAAGUGGGGAAACCUGACUCAGCCAUCCCGCGUGUGCGAUGGAAGGCCGUUCGGGUUGUAAAGCUACGUUU
rnacentral:rRNA from 1 species